rnacentral:lncRNA from 1 species
UAAAAAUCUGCCAUUCGUGGACCAUGCUUUGAGUAGCAAGAAUGUAGAAGACAUUUGUUGGAAGUCAACAACAUCCUUCCCUCUCUUUCCUCUUCCUAAGAGUAUUUCCUUGGUUAGGAUUCUUCAAAACCCUGAGACAAGGACUUUGCGGCAAGAAGCUUAUUUGGGAGGUGAUUCCAGGAAGCAGAGUGCUGCGAUUUGGGUAUUUCCUGAAGUUCACAUGUUGAAAGCUGGCUCCCUGAUACUCUGAACAAGUGGAGUGUGCAAAACUACAAUUCCCAGCUCUUCCUCUCACUGUGUGUCCCUAUUCUGCUUUUCCUGUGGUGUCUAGACCUUUCAGAGUCUGCAUCAUGAUGAAGGAGAUGGCUCUAUUAUUAGACAAGUAAGAUGAAGCUCAAGGAGGUUAAAGGACUUCCUCGGGAUCAUCACAGCUCAAACAGCAGAAGCUUCAGUCCCUGUGUGCUUAGAUAGAAGGCUUUACUGCCCCAAGAAUCAACUGAAUGGACCUCUCCUCUAUGUUCAUUGUGGAAUUCUUGGUGAGGACAUUGUCUGUCACCUUCUGGAAUGUUCUUAUAUAAUAC